GUGCUCACUUCGGCAAUACGUAUACUAAAACUGGAAUGAUACGAAGAUUACCACAGCCCCCAUGCAAAGAUGACACGCAAAUGUGUGAAACACUCCAUAUUUUU
rnacentral:snRNA from 1 species